rnacentral:rRNA from 1 species
GACGAACGCUGGCGGCGUGCCUAAUACAUGCAAGUCGAACGGUCUUUUCUAUGGAAGCUUGCUUCCACUGAGAAGAUAGUGGCGAACGGGUGAGUAACACGUGGGUAACCUGCCCAUAAGAGGGGGAUAACAUCCGGAAACGGGUGCUAAUACCACAUAGGUUUCUUGGUUGCAUGAUCGAGAAAGGAAAGACGGCCUUUGUGCUGUCGCUUAUGGAUGGACCCGCGGCGUAUUAGUUAGGUGGUGAGGUAACGGCGCACCAAGACGAUGAUACGUAGCGGCGCUGGGAGGGUGAUCGGCCACAUUGGGACUGAGACACGGCCCAAACUCCUACGGGAGGCAGCAGUAGGGAAUCUUCCGCAAUGGACGAAAGUCUGACGGAGCAACGCCGCGUGAGUGAAGAAGGUUUUCGGAUCGUAAAACUCUGUUGUCAGAGAAGAACAAGUCGGAGAGUAACUGCUCCGGCCUUGACGGUAUCUGACCAGAAAGCCACGGCUAACUACGUGCCAGCCGCCGCCGUAAUAC